rnacentral:rRNA from 1 species
GAUGAACGCUAGCGGCAGGCCUAAUACAUGCAAGUCGAACGGUAAGUGUUAUAGCAAUAUGACACCAAGAGUGACGCACGGGUGCGUAACACGUAUGCAACCUACCCUUUACAGGCGGAU